UACGUAGGUGGCAAGCGUUGUUCGGAAUUAUUGGGCGUAAAGGGCGCGUAGGCGGUUUGCUAAGUCAGUUGUGAAAGCCCGGGGCUCAACCCCGGAGGGUCGGCUGAUACUGGUGGACUAGAGUACGGAAGAGGUAGCUGGAAUUCCCGGUGUAGCGGUGAAAUGCGUAGAUAUGCGGAGGAACACCGAUGGCGAAGGCAAUCCCCUGGACCUGUACUGACGCUCAUGCACGAAAGCGUGGGGAGCAAACAGG
rnacentral:rRNA from 1 species